CAUAACAUGGCCGAUCCGAAAUUUGUGGCAUGCCUGUGCUCUGUGCUCCUGCAUCCUACACAACAGGCUGAGCUCUAUUCUCUUCACCACUUAAGUCUUUUUAAGCUGAAACAAAACUUGAACCUUUGCAUUUCAGUCAGAAGGGUGAUCUAAUCCAACCACACUCCGUGGAUUCAAGCUGACUUAACUGCAGAGGAACAGAACAGAAAUCUCCAGCCCCACCUGAGCAGGAACUGCCACCUUUGCUGAGACUGCUGGACAGAAGACAGAGACAGCUGAGCUGAUCCAGCAACUCACUUACCCCUACCACAAACAGGAGUGUGCGCAGGCACAGCAGCGAGAGGCCAGCACCUCAGUCCCUCACGGAAGAGCUCCAGGCACAGGCAGUGAGAGCCCAGCGCCUCGAUCCCUCCCAGAAGAGCUCCAAAGAGAACUACUCACACCUUGUCACCGACCCUAAUCACCAUUACAGUGUGAGUGAGUGGAAAACCUGCUUUAACAUUUCCCAUCGGAUGACUCAGUUUCCAGAAGGUCCCCUUCAGAUGUGACUUUUCAUUCACUCGUUUUUUCAUUCACCCGAGGACCAUUUCCUAGCGCCAUCUACAGGACAGGUGUAGGUAAGGGGAGCCACUUCCUAUGGUAUAAACCCUCUGCAUCCUGCCCUCGUCAGGGUGGGGGCGGGGGCGGAGGCAGGUGAGUUACCAAUCAAGCGUAAGGCAGACAGUGAGGUAAGUCACGACCCCACUGGGGUCGCACAUCACAUAUUCUGUAUGUCAGGUAUUUACGUUAAGAUUCUUAACAGCAAAAUCGCUUGUGAAGUAGCAACGAAACAAUUUUAUAGCUGGGGGUCAGCACAACCUGAGGAACUGUAUUAAAGGGCGGCAGCGUUAGGAGAUUUAGGGGCGGGGCCUAGGGGUGUUCCGUAACAGGAAGAGGAGGAAGUCUGCUCCACCAGCACGCGGUCCUGAAGCCCACGGAAUAAGGCGCACAGCACAGGCGAGCCCGCGUGCCUCUGAGCAAUGUGUGUCUUUGAACAAGGAGGCAGGUAACUCGCCACCCAUGCGGCUGGCCUUCCAAACUGUUUGUUUUCACUUUUUUUUUUUUCAUAAUCCGAAAUAGUAUUCUUUGUGUUUAAAAACCCUAGCAGUUCUCCCUCUAGGUCUAGCUAUAUUUAAAUUAAAAUUUUAUUAAUUAUAUUUGUUUUUUAAUUGGAUAUUUUCUUUAUUUACAUUUCAAAUGAUAUCCCCCUUCCUGUCCCCCCAAACCCCCAUCCCUUAUUAAGUUAGCAAUUAUUUUAUUAAUUUUAAUGUUUAAUAAAAUAAAUCCCCCUCAUUUAUUUAAAAUUAGAUUUAAAUAAAUUAAAGGAAGCUAAUGCAACGGGACUAUAAAGCGCUCACCGAAUUAAAAUCUGAAAAUUACUACUAGUCGAGGAAUUAUUUCUUGGGUCCCGGCUGGAGAGAAACCUCUGAGGAGCUGAGCUACUCUGCUAUCUAAUUUGGUGUUUUCUGAACGUGUACAGAGACACUGCCAUGUUUCCUAGUGGUAAGAACAACACAUUUCAUUACAUAAAACUAGAAAAAUUAAAGGAAUCAUUUGUGAAUCUAACAUUUACAGAGCUGUUACCUUAUAUUUUUGUUUGUUUGUUUGUAGACAGGAUUUCUCUGUAUAGUCCUGGCUGUCCUGGAACUCACUCUGUAGACCAGGCUGGCCUCGAACUCAGAAAUCCGCCUGCCUCUGCCUCCCGAGUGCUGGGAUUAAAGGUGUGCACCACCACCACCGCCUGGCUAUCUGUUACCUUAUUUAUUCAUUCUCUCUCAUUACCACUAACUCUAAAAAUGAUGACCACAGAGAGCAUAACUCACUGAAGGCCAUGCCUGGCAGACUGUAAGGCCCUGAGACCUCUCCCCAGUACCACAAACACCACAGUAAAAAACUAAAUUGCAUUCCACACCUAUUCUGAGUAUUUUUGUUAAUUCGUUUUAUGGAUUGUUCAAGGACCAACAAAGCAGACAGUGUUCUCCAGCCGUCUCCCAUUCAGCCCACCUCCACGUCCUAAAUAGCAGCUCCACCCUGAAUCCCCCAUCUUCUCUCACUGGUAUGGUAUCACCAUAGCAACAUGAGCCAUAUGUGGUAUAAUGGCCGUUCUGUGUGUCUUGGCUCUUGCUAUGUUGUCCCAAGCUAGUCCCCCUCAGCCUCUGGAGAAGCAGGAAACACAGGUAAUGCUCACCACACUCCCUGAAGCUGUAUAGAUACAUAGUACUGCUCAUUCGAUGGUAUCCUGUCCAACCCUGACUGAUAUUUAAUUCUUAGGACACGCCUCCAUCAAACCUGUGCACUCUCGCAUGGUGGUGGCUUACUCACGGACUCCACUGUUAUUUAUCCACUCCCCUGGCAAACUUCUGUUCCCCACCAGUUAUGCACUGUCACUAGCCAUGUGACUGCAGAUUUUCUCACCCAGAUUGUCCUGUGCCUGCUCGAAGAAGUUUCUUUUGUGUGAAUAUCCAAAAGAUCUUGGUCCUAAAGUAUAAUUAGCAUCUUUGGGGGGUUUAUAUACAUGGCACAUGCUAUCAUCUGGUUCGUUGUUGGUUUGGUUUGGUUUGGUUUUGGUUUUCUCCUUAUGUGGCCCAGGCUGGUCUUGAACUCCUGUCCUCUGCAAGCCUAGCAUCUCUGAAUGUGGGGAUAACAGGUGUGAGUCAUCACAGCAGCUGUCAAUCACCUUUAACUUCUGCUUUUGACUUGAAGAGUUCCUCUUAGACAUGUGCAAGCAUGCAACAAAGAUUCAUGGCUCAACCAAACUUUAGGCUUCUGAAUUACCUGUAAAAUCCAUCUUUGCACUUCCCUAAAAACCAGUUUCAGCAAAAGAACUUGCUAGGUCAGCUCCAGGCUCCCUGUCCUCAUUCUGAUCAUCCCUUGAUGUGACCAGGCUCCUUCCCUCCACCAUCUGCCAGGUGACAGCAAGGGUCCUGUCAGGCCGCUUAGCCAGACUCUCCAUUAUUCCUGAUAUACUUCCUUGUAACGUUCUAUCUGCUGGUUCCCCACAUUGUUCCUUCCAAUUGCCUAUACUGUAUUUCUAGCUGACCCCAAUGUCCUCCUCCAACUAUAAGGCACCACUGCAGAGGUCUUCCUCGACAGUUCUGAUAAUGCCUUCCUCAUCUCAAGGGAGGAAACAGCAAGGGCUGGGGAAGUCUGUUAAUAAAGGACAACACGUUGCCAGUGUCAGAAGAUGAGUGCCGGAGACCCCCUAGAACCUCGGACUCAAAACCAACAGCAGCAGCAGUAACAAAUGCUAACACGGAUGGUGGUGUGCCCUGGUGAUCCUUUGCUGGGGAGUGGAGAUGGGCAGAUCUCAAAGUCUAACUGGCAGCUAGCCUAACUGCAUUAGUAAGCUUCAGACCAAUAGGAGACCCUGUCUCAAAACAAAACAACCCAAGUGGUGGUAAGAAACAACAGAUAUCUCUGGACUCCUACAUAUACACACCACACACACUACACACCAAACACAAAUACACACACACACACAUAUAUAUACACACCAUACACACCACACACCCACACCAUAUAUAUACAUACCCUACACAUAUACAUAAACAUACACCAUGCACAUACACAUACACUACACAUACACACCACACACCAUGCACACACACACACUACAUAUAUACACAACACACACACACACACCCCAUACACAUGCCAUGCACAUACACACACACACACUAUACAUAUGCACCCACACACACACAUGUGCACAGUACAGGUAGACUUUCAGCAGGCUAAGAAAGCCCUGAGACUCAGCCAUCACUUCCUGAGCAGCCCAUCCCCAGUACCCUCCCCCACAACCUGGGGUCACUGCUGUCACCUGUCUGUAGAGAGGACUGGCCCAAUGCAUAAGACAGGGCUUUGCAGAGCACCACAUAUAUUGCCACAUUGAUUCUAAAGUAACCAGACAGGCAGGUGUUGUUAUUAUUCUCACUGUAUGGGUGAGAAACAUAAAACUCAGGGACGUGAAACAGUUUGCCCUAGGUCACCAGACAGCAUGUACAGGACAUGGACAGCACACUUGCUACAGGGAAUCAGGUUUUCUGCAAUAGGACCUUGCCAAAAAAAAAAAAAAAAAGUUUGUUCAAAAUGGCUAGGAGUUUCAUUAGACAUGGUGCUUGGGGGUGGGGAGGUGGGGUUAUACUUAUAAUUAUUUAUUCAUCAAAAUAGUAAGCACAUAAAUUAUUCUCUAUGCUUAUCUGCACACUUAAAAUAUUUCAUAAUAAAAAUGAGAGAACUCUGUAAACAAAGAUUAGAGACACCUCAGCACUGCGGUUCAAGUGUCAGAAAAAGAAGUGCUGUGCCGUGAACUGAAGGACGACACAGCCUGGUAGGAAAGACUUCACCUCUCCGGGAAUUAGGAGAGAUGGGAGGCAGGACCACACCCAGCUCUCAGUUUAGACAUACGAGUCUUUCCAACUAGGGAAGGCAGAGCAUGCAAACACACAGAGCUAAGGAGGCCCCGAGAAACCAGUAACACCUGACUCUGGGUCAGGCUGGCUUCAGCCACCUAGAUUAUACAAUAUAUAAAUAUACUAAUGUUUGCAGUAAUUUAUCCUAUAAAUCAUUGCUCUGAAAAAGGUGUGUGUGUGUGUGUGUUCAUGCACAAGCCAUGACAUACAUGUGGAGGUCAGAGAACAACUCGUGGGAACUGGGUCUCUCCUUCCACCGUGUGGAUUCUGGAGAUCACCUCGGGUCAUCAGGCUGGGCAGCAAGCACCCUUAGUUUCUCAGCUCCUAUUAGUGCUUUUUAGAACACAAAUGCACACACAGUGCACACGCAGUGCAGGAACUAUGGGAUGCCAUGAGGGUGUGAAAAGAAGAGUCUGAGGAUGCUGAGUAUGUCUGUGGACAAGGUCGCACUAUUUCCCCACGCCAAGUCUUUUGAGCACCAUAUGGCAACAAUGUACUGGCGCACCAGAGAGACAGGGAUUUGGGAGCCCGGUUCCUCAAAAUCUCUCUGAGAAAACCUUUUAAAAACCUCUCCUAUUCUCCCCUGCCCUGCUGGUUUAACUUAGGUUCCCAUCCUUCCAUAUUAACAUGGCGGGAGGCGGGGCUGUAUCUUGCUGAAGGUGCAUAGCUGGGCCAAGAAUAGAACUCCAGCAUCCUGUCUCUCGGCUCACUUCUGGACCAUGCUACCUCAGGAAGGAACAUUUGAAAAUAGUAAUUCUCUCCCCUCUGCCACCAAGCUGUGUGAGAGCACAUGAUCCAUGAAUGAAGCCGGCUCAGUGACUCAGCGCUGGGCUGAGUCAGGCCCCGAAUCCCGAGUAGCUGCAGACACACUCCAUUUAAAUAAGACUUUGAAACCGGGGUCCUUCCAGCAAGAUUGUCCCUUCCAGCAAAGGCCAAGUGCCUUCUGAGCGAUUAUGUUAGCCAGAACUGCCAAAGACACUGCUUUCUUUGUGUUCUGUGCAUUCUUUCAACCCGGUCUGAGGGUCCAGCGGAACAGGCUGACAGACAGACAGACAGACAGACAGACAGACAGACAAGAAGAGUCAAGUAGUUGGAACACAAGAAUAAAUCAACAAUUCAAAAUCAGCUUUGCAUUAUUCAGCUUUCUCUUCUUCCUCUGAAGGGUAACAACCACACUCACAGCAUAGGGGGGUGGGGGGCACACUGGUAAGCUCCAAAGGCCCAACUCUGUCAAUAGCCACUGGCUGUGACCACCUGCUCCAGCCGGGAAGAAGCCAGGUUCUAAGCAAUGACCCCUGUGACAGAUGGCACCGCACAAAGAGAAAAGGGCCAGCCAAAAAUAUGCCUUCCCACAGAGGGAGGGAGAUUGGGUGUUUAAGCAGGAGUCAGGAACAAAGUAACAAAAUUCACCAACUGUGUCUGAAUCUCCCCCUCAGGCUAUCAGUAGUCUCUUUGAAUGACAGAUGAGUCAAAAUCCUGCUCUGUGGACCUCAGGGGGUCUAUGUGUAGCAAGCUGCCAUUAGCAGACUGUUAGAAGAAACAAUCUUACAGUGUUGACAGCGAGCCUCAGUGAAGGGCAUUGCAGAGAACUAGAACAAGUCAGAGCUUUUAUUGAGCCCUUGGAGACACACAGAACACUGGGAAAAUGUCAGUCCUGGGAUGGACAUGAAGUGGCAGAAAUUAAAAAAAAAAAAAUCUAUUAGUCAUUGCUUGGUUUUGAUUCACCAUCAGGGCAGAGAAAUGUAAAAGAGGUAAAAGCAACCAAAGAGAGCAGGACUCAGCACAAGCCGGUGCCCAGCGCUCUGGAAGCACCACCGUGAGCCAAACCAAACGAGCCUUUUUUUUUUUCCCCCACUUCACAUCAAAUGAAACAAAUGCAUAAAUUCAGUGCAUUGGGAUUCAGUUUCCAUCGCCAUCAGAAAACAGAACCCAACUGUCCAAAACCAAAAAAAUUAAACAAAGCCUAGCACUACAGCAACAUUUCACAUAAUCACGUAAAACUGAAAGCAUCCCAGUGUCCAGGGACAGACAACAUGGCAUCUGUUUACAAUAGAAAGAACAGCCUGACACCUUACAUGACAUGGGUGGACCCUAAACGCAUGCUGCUUUGUGACUCUACUUAUAUGAGGUUCUUAGAAGAGCCAUUUUGUAAAGACACAAAAUAGAGAGGUGGAGAGGGGCGGGGAGACAAUGGGAGUGAUCAAUGGAGAAAGGGAGUGGCCAGUGGAGGGGGUGGGAAGACAACAGGGAGUGAUCAAUGGAGAGGGGUGGGGAGAUAAUGGGGAAUGGCCAGUGGAGAGGGGCGGGGGCGACAACAGGGAGUGGCCAGUGGAUGGGUGGGGAGCCAAUGGGAGUGGCCAGUGGAUGGGGUGGGGAGCUAAUGGGAGUGGCCAGUGGAUAGGGGUGGGGAGACAAUAGAAGUGGCAGGUGGAGAGGGGCAGGGAGACAACUGGGGAGUGGCCAAGACACAUAGGGUUGCAGAUGAGAAAGAAGAACCUGCUCUGGAGAUGGACUGUAGAAUGGCUACAUGAUGAUGAAUAUGCUUUAAAUUAAACAAUCAGUUCCACAUUAUAUACAGUUUAAUGAAAUUUUGUAUAGGUGCAUGUGUGUAUGUGGGUGGGUGGGGGGUUGCAUAUGUCUGAGUGUGGAGGCCAGAGGGUAAACUCAGGUGUUGUUCCACAGAGCCAUCUACUCUAAUUUUUCAGUUAGGAUCUUUCACUGGCCUGAAACUCCUCAAGUAGGCUAGCUGAACAGGCAUCCCAGUACUUGGGAGGCAGAGGCAGGUGGAUCACUGAGUUCAAAACCAGCCCAUCUACAGAGCGAGUUCUUUGACAGAUAAGAAUACACAGAGAAACCUUAUCUGGGGGUGGGUGGGAGGUGGUAUGGGGGUGUGUGCAGGGGGAGGGAGCAGGCUGGCUGGCCAGCAAACUCCAGGAUUCUACCUGUAUCUGCCUCGCUGGCACCAGGAUUAUAAGCGUAUGUCCCUACACCAAAAUUUUUUAAAUGGGUUUUGGGGGUGGACUCAGGUCCUUAGGCACUUUGCCAACUGAGCCAUCACCUCCCAUCCCUGGAAUCUUUUAAAAAUUAAAACCAAUAAAAUGAGGCAUGGUGAAGUUAAGAAACUUGGCCAAGUUGCACCUCGGAAACAAAGAAGACAAGAAUUCAGGCCAUGAUGAGUUAACAAAUUCCCCAGAAACAUGUCAUCUCCCCCAGUACAGCUGCACAGGCUAGAGCAGGACAGAGCAGCUUGGAGGGGCAGGACCUCUGGGUCUGCCCUGACUGCAGUCAAGCUUGGCUGUCACCUGCUCCUCAUGUGUAGGAUGCAUGCCUCUGCUCAGACCUUGUCUAAGGCUCCCCACUCUCCCAUGAGCCUCGCCCAGAAAAAAGUCACAAAGAACAGCCAGCAUUUUCAAGCUUACCAACAUCACGAAUAUCCUGAAAAUUCUGGACCCCUGAAAGUCUCCCUAAAUUGGAGUGUAACAGAAAACCACCACCCCAAUUACACAGGCCUUGAAAUCUCUUCUCAUAUGCUAAUAAUCUAUGCCACACGAUGCACCCCUCCCCCAAAACAAAUGUCCAUUUCCAGAGUUGUCUCUGGGUCUCAUCUCUCAGGGUUAACUAACCAAUGCUAUCUGGAGAUGCCGCUGUGGAGUGUCCCAGCUUAGGAGAGUGUCACUAUUAUCAAGUGGUAGAUGCAGAGAUGCUACUAAACAUUUUAAAAUGCUUAGCUUACCCCCAUCACCAAAUCACCAUGUUCAAAAGUCAGCAGUACCGAGAAUGUGACCCUUUCCUUGCCCAACGCUCACCUGAUACCUGUGUGCAGGCGAGUGUCCUUUAUGUGGAACACCCGGAACGGAAGUGUUCCAGAUUCCAGGGAUUUCCACACUUAGUGUGUCUUCGAAGGACUCUGUUGUCCAAGCAUCCUUGAUUCAGAAGCCCAAAAUACAAAACACCCUAGAAUCGAAAAGUUUUUGGAGCUCCAUUUUAACACUUUGGGACCAUCUGAGAUCUCAGAUCUUCAGAACAGAAAUACUCAAGAUAUAUUCCUUCAUGAAUCGCCAAGAAAAAGCCACUGCCAUACUACCUAUGGCCAACAGAUCACGGUACCUCCUGAGGCAGCCCAUUUCAACAAAACUCCUCAAUGUUCAGAAUUUGCCCCUGUAAGUUUGAACCAACCAUUUCUGAUGUUAAUUUUGAGGUCAAAGAGUUGCCCCUGCUCCACACCAGAGCUAAGUAACCAGACAGCCGCUAUGGUAGCUAUGUGUUCUAAGUGCUUGUCCAGACAGGUAAGUAAGUAACCAGACAGCUAAGUAACCAGACAGCAGCUACAGUAGCUCUAUGUUCUAACUGCUCGUCCAGACAGGUAGUAAGUAACCAGACGGGGGCUAUUGUAGCUAUGUGUUCUAACUGCUCAUCCAAACAAGCUACACACACUCCUCUGUGUUCACUUAGGUUUCAUCCUGAAAUUCAAGAGAAAGAAACAUGUCUACCUUAUCUUGUCCACUCACUGACUAACACUGAGUAUGUGAGUAGCAGUUACUAACAUGCAACUAAGUUAACAUGAGGUGGAAGGAAGUCCACGCUUUAGUCUGAGUAUGCACCCCAAAGGCUGUUAAGAGGUAAAGAGACUUUUUAUAAGGUGGGGCCUAGCAGUAAGUCAGCAGGCCGCUGGGGUGUAGAGACCUUUAGAGGGCACUAACACAGUCUGGCUCCUGUGCUGCUGCCUGACAAGUUUCAGGGACAUUCCCUCAGGAAAAGUAGCUCUUGGUACCUUAGCAUGGCGUGUGCUGUGACGUCUGGACCCUCAGCCUCCUGGUGUACAACAUUAAACCUCUUCUCUUCAGAAGCUACCCAGCUUUGUGGAUUUGCAUGGAAUGAUGGGUAGAAUAACCUGCCAAGCUGCCAUAAUUCUUGGACAAGAGAAAUACCAAAUCACUGAGCACACAAACAGGCCUUUGACUCCCAUACUCAACUACUACUCCCACAUGAGGUACCUUCUACUUCAUCUACGGGGGGGGUGGGGGGAGGAGGAGAGGGGGCCAUCAUGGAAUCACGGUCAUCUCUCCCGUCAAGAAGAAUCCUCUUUACCUUUCUCAAGAAAAAUAACCCAAAUCUCAGCAGGACUCCAUAAUAGGCUGCCAAUCAAUCUCCCUGGUCCGCUCAGCUCGACUGCAGAACUGCCAAAAGCCAACACGGAAACCUGCAACACUGUACGUGCAUUAUACCACUGGAGACAUCGGUAGCAUCGGUGGCCUAAGAGAUAGUCUCUCUUGGGAGGAAAGGGCUUUGUAAACAGGAAACCUCAACUGCAAAGGACCCAUUUAUACAGCACAGCUCACUUGAAAACUGUAAACAAGUUGUUAAGCCUCACCAAUAUGACCUUCACUUCCACCCCACCUCAUCAGCCCAUCAGCUCAAACCCCAUUUUCAUUACUACCUCAGAUUCUCCCACUGGCUAGUUAUCCUGCUUCCCACAGGAAACUUAGAGUGCCUUAGGGCCUGCGUCAGGACCAUGCUCCCAGCUUCACGAUAACCACAUUCGACACACACAGACCUCUCACUUACUCGAAUACAUCCUGCUUUGGAAUCAGUCUUCGAAGCUUAUUUGGGUAUGUUAAACAGUCAACAAAUAUCAAUAAACUAACAAAUAGUAGCUGAGUGCCUAGAAUAUACUACGCAUCCUAGAUCUUGAAGAAAACUAAAAAAUAUUCUUUAGUUAUUGCCCUUGAAAUCCCAAGACUCAUUUAUUAAAAAUAGCAAGUAUCAGAAAACAACCGGCUACUACAUUACAGCCAUACAUUAGGAAGACAUUUGUUCGGAAACAAAGACAAGGGCUCUCGGGUCUCACUUCUUGAAGUCAAUGUCAGAAACAAACAAAGACACACAAUUAUCCAUCCCCUUGUUAUACACCCAUGUUUUAUAUAUAAAAGCAUUUUUUAUUUGUAGGCACACUAAAUUAUAUGAUUAGUAUCUUACUUCCUUUUUUAACAACAGUGGUAGACAGAACAAAUCACAACCACAAAUUCAAUUCUCUGAAUGACAAACCUGAGGCUUUAGAAAAGGGAGGGUAUCCAGGCAGUCUGUUGACAGCAAACCUAACCGUGUAGAGCUGUCCUCACAGCCUCCAGUGUGCCCCAGAGCCUCUAAUCUCCCCACUUCCUGGCCACUUCCUGCCAAUGCUGUGAGAAGCAACCAUGAAAAGCU